AGCGCAGGCGGGAAGACAAGCUGGAAGUGAAAUCUAUGGGCUCAACCCAUAAACUGCUUUCAAAACUGUUUUUCUUGAGUAGUGCAGAGGUAGGCGGAAUUCCCGGUGUAGCGGUGGAAUGCGUAGAUAUCGGGAGGAACACCAGUGGCGAAGGCGGCCUACUGGGCACCAACUGACGCUGAGGCUCGAAAGUGUGGGUAGCAAACA
rnacentral:rRNA from 1 species